UAUAUUCGAGCAAGAAACUGACUGAUGCACAAUUGUCUCGAUUUCAUCAUCUGUGUACCCUAAACCACACAAGUAAGGGAUGUAAUCUUCGGGUUGUAGGUCAUAAACAAGCCCCGGAUCAUUAGCACUCGACGGGUUAACGUGCCCUGCUCCGAGGGCAAAUAUGUCAGCAGGCAAGUGUCUCUCGUCCUCGAUGGGCCCACCCGCUGAGUCAAGCUGACUAGCGGUAGUCAUAAUGGCGGACUUUAUUGCGGCAGGCGACCAAUCAGGGUGCGCGCUUUUGAGCAGUGCCGCAACGCCACUGAGGUGCGGGCAUGACAUCGACGUGCCCGAAAUGAUGUUAAAUAUCGCAUUUUCGUUCGGGUAGUUGUCCACAGAUUCCGGCCAUGCCGCUAGUAUGUUGACGCCGGGGCCGACGAUAUCGGGUUUUAGUAUUCCGGGACUCGCCGAACUCGGCCCUCUCGACGAGAACGAUGCCACCGUCAGAGCCGACGGAAAUCCAAUAACAGUGCCUCGAAACAUGAUUGCUGCCCGAGGAGUUGACGUCGAACUUAUAUACGCCCUGAUCUUCACUCCGGCAUCGUAGCUCACUUCGGUGGCCGGAAGUACGUGGGGAUCGGCUAUUGUUGUGUAGGCGUCUCGCUCUUUGUUCAUCAGAAUCAUGGCGGCACCACCGGCAUCUUUCACCGUUUGCCCCUUGUCGAUUGGAUCUGUCCAGCCUCCACUCUGGCAGAGUACAAUUUUCCCUUUUACGUCAAUGUUGUCCAACGAGCCCGGUUCGCAAAGUCCGGUAGUUACAUUACCACCAGCGGCAUCAAUUAAAGGCAUAUCUUCAUAUGGGAAAUCGCUCGGCUGGUAAACGGAUUCGCCGGUGUAUUCGUCCUUGUUUCCCAGUACUGCAGUAGCUACUAUCCUUCUGUCGAUAGUACUAGCCCCAACCGUAAGAAUCCAGGGCGCCUCGUUCGACAACGAACCAUCAAACGGCCCGGAAUUCCCCGCCGAACAGCUGACGAAAAUGCCCUUCUGAAUAGCUGCGAAUGCACCUAUAGCGAUAACGUCGUCGAAGAAAUCGAUCGAACCGCCGCCUAGAGAGAGGGACAUUACGUGGACCCCAUCCUCGAUCGCAGCAUCCAUCGCCGCCAGUAUGUCCGCCUCGUAACAUCCCUCGUCGGAGCAGACUUUGUACAUGGCGAGAUGUGCACGCGGGGCCAUGCCGACGGCCGUACCGUUGGCCAUGCCGAAAACAUUGCCGCCGGGAACAAAGUUCCCUGCGGCUGUGCUGGCGGUGUGCGUGCCGUGGCCGUAGUCGUCGACCGGCGGGCCCCACGUGUCGCUGGCGAAAUUUCUUGCACCGAUGAGCUUGUUGUUGCACCCGGCGCUGAACUCGCACUGCCCUUUCCAUUUCUUAGGCGGAGGCGGCACGUCUCUGUCGUCGAAAGACGAAUGGCCCGGCGAAAUUCCGCUGUCUAUAAGUCCGAUAAUUACGCCUUCGCCGUAGUUUGAGCCCUUCCAUAAUCCUAAGUUCUGGUGCAGCCCCAAGAAACUAGGGCUAUGAGUUGUGUGCAAUGACAACUUUUUUUGCAGCCUUGCAGUAAUGAAUCCUUCCUUCUUCUCCAUUUCUUUCACUUCUUCCGAAGUUAGCUUCGCCGCAAAACCGGUCGCCACGUGUCGAAAAGUGCGAACCAAUCGAGUGCGCGGGCCCUUGUCCCCGGGCAAGAAAGAGAUGUACCACCUCUCGAGCUCGUCGGAAUCGGCCGAAACCCGGCCCCUCGGUAACUUUACAUGGACAAUGUAUGUUUGUAAGGUACUCUUUGGUGGGGUUUCAAUUGUAAUAUCUUUAGCUAUGAUUAAUGGAGAUGAAAAUAACAUGCAAAUCAUGACAUGGAAUAUACCCAUGAUCAAGUUGGUUGCCAUUUUGUUAUGAUUGAAAGAUGUAGUUCAUUAUGUGAUCAUAUGUGUAUGUAUAUAUAAGAGGGAGUGAAGGGUAUUAUAGACCUUUUUCACAAUAUUUAUGCUAAGAAUUAUAGUUCGUUAGGCUGUUAAGGGGGUUUCUGGUAAUUAUGAAUACUUAAGGGGUGUUUUGAUGAUUUGUCCUUAGUUAAGGUGUUUGUAAUAAUUUACUCAAAAGUAAACUACCAAUGAUCUUUACAUCAUUUUCUUAAAUGUGUCGGACUGUGUAUACCCGAAAAGUUAAUUGUGAUUCGGACCGAGUUUGAGCCCUUCUAUUAUGUCCAAAAAGUUUAUUAGCCGAAUAUGAGUUUAUAAAUUAUUAUGACUCAAUCCAAAUUAAGCCUGAUCACAUAAGUAAUUUAAGGGUCCAUUUGGAUGGGGGAUUUGGGGAGGGAUUUGAUUUAGGGAAUGGAUUUGAAAUUACUCCAAUUUUGGAGUCAUUUGAAAUCCAUCACUAUUGCUCCAAAAUCAACUAAAAAUGAGGGGUGGGGAUUUGAAAUCCAUCUCCAAAUCCCUCAAUCCAAACAAGUUCGAGGGAUUUGUUAUUAUGGAUUUGAAAUCCCUCCCCCAAAUCCCUCCAUCCAAAUGCACCCUAAAAGUUAAUUAAAUUUAUUUUUUGACAUAUUUAUUAACAUUUAUUUUAUACAACGAACACUAAUUGAAAAUUUGAACGUACACUCAUCUAUUGAACUGUUUUUCGAGCUUAUACUAAAAGUAGAAAUAAAAAAAAAAUUAUAUAACCAAUAUUUAUGUUUUUUUUUUCUUUUAUUUGAAUCAUCUCAAAUACAUUAUUUUCCUUAUUUGCAAAUGAUUAGAAUUUCGUUAAAUACUCAUAUUCAUGUAGCUUUUCUUCGUAAAAAAAACCUAGUAUUAUGAUACUAUACAAAUAUUUGCACAUGAACUGUAUUCAUCACAUUUAAAAUAUGUAUGUAUGUAAGCUCGAUUUAAACUCGAAAUUCAAAAUAUAAUAUAUGAGCCAAGUUUCAUUCUAACUACAAUUAUAAAGUUUGAUGGUACGUGAAUUUGAGCUUUCAGUACUGAAAGUGAAAUCUAAUGGUAUUUGAGUUUGAGCAUACUAGAACUCGACUAACAUUACCCGUUGUAAUAAUUUACUUCCGAAUAAAAAAAGACAAGAAACGUGCUUGAAUGAAUUGUGCAUUAAAAUGUUAUAUUUUAUGGCAAUUCAAUCAGAUGGGCAUGUUUUAUUAUAUCAUGUGAUUGAUUUUGAAUUAUGUGGUACCACAAAUAGCAAACUUUAAAACACAUUUGUAAAAAAAAAUUAAAAAAACAAGAAACGUGCUUGAAUUAAUUUUGCAUUAAAAGAAAUUUACAUUUGAAGACAAGAAAACCUAACAAAUAGUCAACCACUACUCAACCCCAAUAUUUACAUCAAGAAUAUAUAUUCCCAUGUCCUCGUUUUGGAAAACAUCAUAAGAUAUUAGGGAUGGAAAUCGGACGAAAUUGAUCAGAAAUGGCUUUUACGAAGAAAAAAUUUAUUUUUUUCAGAAAGUAGAAAUGCAUUCCAAAAAGCUUUGAAAUCGGCAGAAUUUUGAAAAUUGCAUUAAUUAAUAAUUUCUUAUUCCAAAUUCAGAUAUAAUGGGAAUCUUUCAGAAUUUUUUUCUAAUUUUUUUGAAUUUUUCCAACAAAAUACAAGAAAUCCAAAACAAAGUUCAACAAAAUGCAAUGUAAACAUAUGUAAGAACAACAUAAGCAGUCCAAUAUAGUUCUUGCAAAUUCUCAAACAAAAAAUAUAUAUAUAUAUAUAGUUCUUGCGAACCAUGAAUAAAAAACAGUUCAAAAAAGAUAACAUAACAAAUUAAAAAAAGAAUGUGAAGAGAAAGAUUAUAGGAAAUUGAGAUGUUAAGGUCUUAGUUUACUCGGGCCUAAUUAGAUAUUCAUAUAAUAUAUAUCAUACAUUAUAUUAAUAUAGAAAUACAAAAUAUAUCAUUAAAUUAUUAUAUAUAAUAUAUUUAGGAACUAAAAUCGGAUCUAAAAUCGGAAUUUCCGAUAAUUUUAUAUACAAUUCCGAUUACUUUGCAAAAAUAAUUGAAAAAUCGAAUUUCAGAAUUUUGGAAAUCAGAAGAAAAAAAAAAAAAAAAAAAAAAAAAAAAAAAAAAAAAAAAGCGGUUCCAAAAUUAGAUAUUUUCGGAUCGGAAUCGGCGGAAUUUGGAGAUUCGGUUCCGAUAUCCACCCCUAUAAGGCAUCCAUGUCAAUGUGUGCAAGAAAACUGGUACCAAACUUCUUUCUGAUUGUUUUAGGUUAAAAUACACUUUGACUCAUAGUAUACUAUAUUUAAUACUUACCUCCUCGCAUUUGAAAAAUGCACUUACCCUACUCAAUUUAACCGUUACCUAUCUGGUAAAAUUAGUUACAUUUUUAUUAGGUACCCUUAUAAGUACAAUCCCUUAUUUUUGUAUUGAUUUUUUUUUUUUUGAAUAAACAUUAAAUUUAACAAAUAUUUAAGAUAUUAUAUAUAUAUAUUUUUGUUUUUGAAAUAUUGGAUGAAAUAAUUUACUUCAUUAAUUUUAAUAUUUAAAAAUUAAAUUUCUUUGAAGAAAAUUUGCACCAAAAUUCUCAUUUACAAACACUGAAAAAUAUAUUAUGAGCCAAUAAAAGCUCAUAAUUUGUUCAAAGAGAUCUUAUCUUACCACAAACACCACCUAAGCCAAGUUGAAGUGUAUUUUCUUGAUUAACAAUCAUGAUUGAAGAUUUCCUUACGAGUACAUAUUACAUUAUGGAAUACUAUUUUGCAAAAUACAAGAUUUGAAUUGUCCUCCAUCUACUCAUCAAACGAGCUUGACCGAAAUCGGACUUCUAACCGCGCGUUUCUCCGAACGCCACACGAUUGCCCCUUGCACGAAAGUGGCAUUGACACGGGUUGAAGAUUUGCUAAACUUUAUCUCAUACGUCAUCUUUUGGUUCACUUUGGUGAAAGACAGAGUACCAGGUGUCACUCCUACAUCAACACCUUUAACCCGAUUAACUUCGACGCUAUAAGUUGAAUUUGCCUCCCCAACAUUUGUCACCGUCCUCGUGUACGUUUUCGUUGCGGGCCCAAGUUUGACGGAGAACGACGGGUAAUUCAGUUGCACUUCGGGUACGCUCGUUAUAUUCGAGCAAGAAACCGACUGCUGCACAAUUGUCCGGAUUUCAUCAUCCGUGUAGCCUAAGCCACACAAGUAAGGGAUGUAAUCUUCGGGUUGUAGGUCAUAAACAAGCCCCGGAUCAUUAGCACUCGACGGGUUAACGUGUCCUGCUCCAAGGGCAAAUACGUCUGCGGGCAAGUGUCUCUCGUCCUCAAUGGGC
rnacentral:lncRNA from 1 species